rnacentral:rRNA from 1 species
ACCUUUACUAUAGCUUGACACUGAACAUUGAGCCUUGAUGUGUAGGAUAGGUGGGAGGCUUUGAAGUGUGGACGCCAGUCUGCAUGGAGCCGACCUUGAAAUACCACCCUUUAAUGUUUGAUGUUCUAACGUGGACCCGUGAUCCGGGUUGCGGACAGUGUCUGGUGGGUAGUUUGACUGGGGCGGUCUCCUCCUAAAGAGUAACGGAGGAGCACGAAGGUUGGCUAAUCCUGGUCGGACAUCAGGAGGUUAGUGCAAUGGCAUAAGCCAGCUUGACUGCGAGCGUGACGGCGCGAGCAGGUGCGAAAGCAGGUCAUAGUGAUCCGGUGGUUCUGAAUGGAAGGGCCAUCGCUCAACGGAUAAAAGGUACUCCGGGGAUAACAGGCUGAUACCGCCCAAGAGUUCAUAUCGACGGCGGUGUUUGGCACCUCGAUGUCGGCUCAUCACAUCCUGGGGCUGAAGUAGGUCCCAAGGGUAUGGCUGUUCGCCAUUUAAAGUGGUACGCGAGCUGGGUUUAGAACGUCGUGAGACAGUUCGGUCCCUAUCUGCCGUGGGCGCUGGAGAACUGAGGGGGGCUGCUCCUAGUACGAGAGGACCGGAGUGGACGCAUCACUGGUGUUCGGGUUGUCAUGCCAAUGGCACUGCCCGGUAGCUAAAUGCGGAAGAGAUAAGUGCUGAAAGCAUCUAAGCACGAAACUUGCCCCGAGAUGAGUUCUCCCUGACUCCUUGAGAGUCCUGAAGGAACGUUGAAGACGACGACGUUGAUAGGCCGGGUGUGUAAGCGCAGCGAUGCGUUGAGCUAACCGGUACUAAUGAACCGUGAGGCUUAACCUU